UACAGGGGGGUGCAAACGUUGCUCGGAAUCAUUGGGCGUAAAGCGCACGUAGGCGGUCUGUUAUGUCGGAUGUGAAAGCCCUUGGCUCAACUGAGGAAGUGCAUCCGAAACUGGCAGGCUAGAGUACGAAAGAGGAUCGCGGAAUUCCCGGUGUAGAGGUGAAAUUCGUAGAUAUCGGGAGGAACACCAGUGGCGAAGGCGACUUCCUGGCCUGUUCUUGACGCUGAGGCGCGAAAGCUAGGGGAGCAAACGGG
rnacentral:rRNA from 1 species